ACCUCCCACCCGUGUUUAUCGUACCUUGUUGCUUCGGCGGGCCCGCCUCACGGCCGCCGGGGGGCAUCCGCCCCCGGGCCCGCGCCCGCCGAAGACACACAAACGAACUCUUGUCUGAAGAUUGCAGUCUGAGUACUUGACUAAAUCAGUUAAAACUUUCAACAACGGAUCUCUUGGUUCCGGCAUCGAUGAAGAACGCAGCGAAAUGCGAUAAGUAAUGUGAAUUGCAGAAUUCAGUGAAUCAUCGAGUCUUUGAACGCACAUUGCGCCCCCUGGUAUUCCGGGGGGCAUGCCUGUCCGAGCGUCAUUGCUGCCCUCAAGCACGGCUUGUGUGUUGGGCUCUCGCCCCCCGCUUCCGGGGGGCGGGCCCGAAAGGCAGCGGCGGCACCGCGUCCGGUCCUCGAGCGUAUGGGGCUUCGUCACCCGCUCUGUAGGCCCGGCCGGCGCCCGCCGGCGAACACCAUCAAUCUUAACCAGGUUGACCUCGGAUCAGGUAGGGAUACCCGCUGAACUUAAGCAUAUCAAUAA
rnacentral:rRNA from 1 species